rnacentral:rRNA from 1 species
UACGGAGGGUGCAAGCGUUAUCCGGAUUUACUGGGUUUAAAGGGUGCGCAGGCGGAUAUGUAAGUCAGGGGUGAAAUCUCCAGGCUUAACCUGGAAAUUGCCGUUGAUACUAUAUAUCUUGAAUGCUGUGGAGGUAAGCGGAAUAUGUCAUGUAGCGGUGAAAUGCUUAGAGAUGACAUAGAACACCUAUUGCGAAGGCAGCUUACUACGCAGAUAUUGACGCUCAUGCACGAAAGCGUGGGGAUCAAACAGG